GACGAACGCUGGCGGCGUGCUUAACACAUGCAAGUCGAAUGGAAAGGCCCUGCUUUUGUGGGGUGCUCGGGUGGCGAACGGGUGAGUAACACGUGAGUAACCUGCCCUUGACUUUGGGAUAACUUCAGGAAACUGGGGCUAAUACCGGAUAGGAGCUCCUGCUGCAUGGUGGGGGUUGGAAAGUUUCGGCGGUUGGGGAUGGACUCGCGGCUUAUCAGCUUGUUGGUGGGGUAGUGGCUUACCAAGGCUUUGACGGGUAGCCGGCCUGAGAGGGUGACCGGCCACAUUGGGACUGAGAUACGGCCCAGACUCCUACGGGAGGCAGCAGUGGGGAAUAUUGCACAAUGGGCGGAAGCCUGAUGCAGCAACGCCGCGUGCGGGAUGACGGCCUUCGGGUUGUAAACCGCUUUCGCCUGUGACGAAGCGUGAGUGACGGUAAUGGGUAAAGAAGCACCGGCUAACUACGUG
rnacentral:rRNA from 1 species